UAGGGAAUCUUCGGCAAUGGGGGGAACCCUGACCGAGCAACGCCGCGUGAGUGAAGAAGGUUUUCGGAUCGUAAAGCUCUGUUGUUAAGGAAGAACGAGUGUGAGAAUGGAAAGUUCAUACUGUGACGGUACUUAACCAGAAAGGGACGGCUAACUACGUGCCAGCAGCCGCGGUAAUACGUAGGUCCCGAGCGUUGUCCGGAUUUAUUGGGCGUAAAGCGAGCGCAGGCGGUUAGAUAAGUCUGAAGUUAAAGGCAGUGGCUCAGCCAUUGUAGGCUUUGGAAACUGUUUAACUUGAGUGCAGAAGGGGAGAGUGGAAUUCCAUGUGUAGCGGUGAAAUGCGUAGAUAUAUGGGGGAACACCGGUGGCAAGAGCGGCUCUCUGGUCUGUAACUGACGCUGAGGCUCGAAAGCGUGGGGAGCGAACAGG
rnacentral:rRNA from 1 species